CCUACGUGUGGCAGCAGUGGGGAAUAUUGGGCAAUGGGCGGAAGCCUGACCCAGCAACGCCGCGUUAAGGAAGAAAGCUUUCGGGGUGUAAACUUCUUUUUAGAGGGAAGUGCAGAAGACGGUAACUCUUGAAUAAGCCACGGCUAACUACGUGCCAGCAGCCGCGGUAAUACGGAGGUGGCAAGCGUUGUCCGGAUUUACUGGGUGUAAAGGGCGUGUAGCCGGGCUGACAAGUCAGAUGUGAAAUCCGGUGGCUCAACCACGGAACUGCAUUUGAAACUGUCGGUCUUGAGUAUCGGAGAGGCAGGCGGAAUUCCUAGUGUAGCGGUGAAAUGCGUAGAGAUUAGGAGGAACACCAGUGGCGAAGGCGGCCUGCUGGACGACAACUGACGGUGAGGCGCGAAAGCGUGGGGAGCAAACAGGAUUAGAUACCCCUGUAGUC
rnacentral:rRNA from 1 species